rnacentral:rRNA from 1 species
AGAGUUUGAUCCUGGCUCAGAACGAACGCUGGCGGCGUGCUUAACACAUGCAAGUCGCGUGCGCAGUUCCGUAGCAAUACUGGAUGGGCGCACGGCGCACGGGUGCGUAACACGUGGGCAAUCUGCCCUCUGAUGGGGAAUAACCCCGCGAAAGCGGGGCUAAUACCGCAUGACAUUCCUUGGACUGCGGUUCGAGGAUU